UAUANAGUCUGGCCUGCCCACUGGGGACUAAAAGGCCGCGGUAUUAUGACCGUGCGAAGGUAGCAUAAUCAUUAGUCUUUUAAUUGAGGGCUGGAAUGAAUGGUCGGACGAGAAGUAAGCUGUCUUUAUUUCAUGGAUUGAAUUUAACUUUUAAGUGAAAAGGCUUAAAUGGAUUAGAGGGACGAUAAGACCCUAUAAAGUUUAUACAUGGAGUUAGUUAAAAGUGAUUCAGGAUAGUAAAGUUUGUUAUUAGCAAGAUGUUUAGUUGGGGCGACUAGAAUAUAAGUUAUAUAACUGUUUUUUAUUUAAGUCAGAAGUAUUUGUUUAUAGUGAUCCCUUUUUAGGAUUAAAGAGUAAAUUACUUUAGGGAUAACAGCGUAAUUUUUUUUGAGAGUUCGUAUCGACAAAAGAGUUUGCGACCUCGAUGUUGAAUUAAAAAUUUCUCUGUGGUGUAGUGGUUGCAGGAGAAGGUCUGUUCGACCUUUAAAUUUUUACAUGAUUUGAGUUCA
rnacentral:rRNA from 1 species